rnacentral:rRNA from 1 species
UACGUAGGCAGCAAGCGUUGUUCGGAGUUACUGGGCGUAAAGGGUGCGUAGGCGGCUUUUUAAGUUUGGUGUGAAAUCUCCCGGCCCAACUGGGAGGGUGCGCCGAAUACUGAGAGGCUAGAGUGUGGGAGAGGAAAGUGGAAUUCCUGGUGUAGCGGUGAAAUGCGUAGAUAUCAGGAGGAACACCGGUGGUGUAAACGGCUGUCUGGACCAUAACUGACGCUGAGGCACGAAAGCGUGGGUAGCAAACAGG